UAUGAGCGAAAUAUUCUCCAGCGCGACGUUAAACCCAAUUUCACCUCAACUCACCUCCUACUUAAAAUACUGUAUUAAAUAUAUAAGAGCAGUGAAAUACAUGAAUCGAGGGGCUUUUGACUGGGGUGCUCAAAUUAUCGAGGAAUUUUGUUCAGGGGCUUUUGGUCGGUACCCAACAAAUCCAAUCCUAGUAAACUGGCCCUACCUCACUCUGGUUACCUGAUUUUGGAUGACAUACAACAUUUAGCACUGUUCGUACUUUACAGGUAAAAUUAUUCAAAUGCUUCAAAGGCCACAACCAGCAGGUCCAUUAUGUGAAUAUUUAUUCAGGUGGCAAAAUGUAACAUACCAGUGAAAUGUAAAUGUGGAAACCAUGGUAACUGAAUAAAUGCAACUAUAUUUGAUAUUCUAACCACCAAUGAUGCAUAAACUGGGAAUGAAUAUGAACUGAAAUUGUAAUUUGCUAAACCUGCUUUUGUUGUGUACAAAAACAACCUGCAUAAUGUAUAUACCACUACACACCUGUGUGUACAGUGACCCUGCCAUGCAGUUAUGUGUGUGUAAUGGAUAUUGCCUUGUGUGUAUUUAGAUUGUAGCUGUGUGUAUUGACUAGCUGUGUAUAUAUUGACUAGCUGUGUGUGUAUAUUGACUAGCUGUGUGUGUAUUCAGAUUGUAGCUGUGUGUGUAUUGACUAGCUGUGUGUGUAUAUUGACUAGCUGUGUGUGUAUUGACUAACUCUGUGUGUAUUGACUAGCUGUGUGUAUAUUGACUAGCUGUUUGUGUAUUCAGAUUGUAGCUGUGUGUGUAUCUGGACCAGCUGUGUGUAUAUAUUGAACAGCUGUGUGAGUAUUCAGUUUGUAGCUGUGUGUGUAUAUUGUCUAGGUGUUUGUGCAUUCAGAUUGUAGCUGUGUGUAUAUUGACUGUUUGUGCAUUUAGAUUGGAGAUGUGUGUGUAUAUUGACAAGCUGUGUGUGUAUAUUGAACAGCUGUUUGUGCAUUCAGAUUGGAGCUCUGUGUGUAUAUUGACAAGCUGCGUGUAUUCAGUUUGCAGUUGUGUGUAUAUUGACAUUUCAACUGUGUGUAUAGUGAAUCUGGCUGUGUGUGUAUUCAGAUUGCAACUGUGUGUAUAUUGAGUAACUGUUUGUGCAUUCAGAUUGGAGAUGUGUGUGUAUAUUGACAAGCUCUGUGUGUGUAUUCAUUUUGUAGCUGUGGGUAUAUUCAGUUUGCAAUUGUGUGUGUAUUCAGAUUGCAACUGUGUCUAUAGUGAAUCUGGCUAUGUGUGUGUAUUCAGAUUGCAACUGU